GGGACACGUGGUAUCCUGUCUGAAUAUGGGGGGACCAUCCUCCAAGGCUAAAUACUCCUGACUGACCGAUAGUGAACCAGUACCGUGAGGGAAAGGCGAAAAGAACCCCGGCGAGGGGAGUGAAAAAGAACCUGAAACCGUGUACGUACAAGCAGUGGGAGCACCUUCGGGUGUGACUGCGUACCUUUUGUAUAAUGGGUCAGCGACUUAUAUUCUGUAGCAAGGUUAACCGUAUAGGGGAGCCGCAGGGAAACCGAGUCUUAACUGGGCGUUAAGUUGCAGGGUAUAGACCCGAAACCCGGUGAUCUAGCCAUGGGCAGGUUGAAGGUUGGGUAACACUAACUGGAGGACCGAACCGACUAAUGUUGAAAAAUUAGCGGAUGACUUGUGGCUGGGGGUGAAAGGCCAAUCAAACCGGGAGAUAGCUGGUUCUCCCCGAAAGCUAUUUAGGUAGCGCCUCGUGAACUCAUCUUCGGGGGUAGAGCACUGUUUCGGCUAGGGGGUCAUCCCGACUUACCAACCCGAUGCAAACUACGAAUACCGAAGAAUGUUAUCACGGGAGACACACGGCGGGUGCUAACGUCCGUCGUGAAGAGGGAAACAACCCAGACCGCCAGCUAAGGUCCCAAAGUCAUGGUUAAGUGGGAAACGAUGUGGGAAGGCACAGACAGCCAGGAUGUUGGCUUAGAAGCAGCCAUCAUUUAAAGAAAGCGU
rnacentral:rRNA from 1 species